CGAGGAUGGUAGUUCCCGACGCAGCUUUAAGUAAAUCAGCAGCCAGCUGUUAUUGAUUUGAAUCAGGUGAAGAGGUAGAUACUCGUAAAAACAAAUGCAUCCAUGCCACCUGGUUUGACAUUACUGCUGAGGACAGAUUUUCAGCAAUGCAGCCAGCCUGGUUGCUGAAGCCACAGAGGUAUUUUCAAGGACAAGAACCAGUGCUGAUCAAAACAUGGUCUAGUGAUGGAAUUCCAUACCCGUUCUUGGCAAGGAUUUUUUAGAAAGGAAUUUUGUCUGCAAAUCGGAAUUCAUCACUUUAGUACCGUAUUCACCAGUACGGUUUUAUCCAGGAUACCAGAGUGGCAUCUGGGAUUGAUCUCUUCAGUAAGCUGGAUUCAACAGUAACGUUCAAUCCAGGAUACCAGAGUGGCAUCAGGAUUUGAUCAUUUCAGUACUGUAUUCACUAGUUACAUUUUAUCCAGGAAACCAGAGUUGGCAUAUGGGACGAUCACUUCUUCAGUACCCUAUACCAGAGUGCAUUAUGUAUCUUGGAUCGAUGACUCUAGUACUGUAAUCAUCAUGAACAAUUGAAAUAAGAGACAAGAAUUGAGUGACAUUGUUAAAAUUAAAACAAAAUCUAAUAAGUUCUGAAUAAUUAAGUGUAUUGGCAAAGGAUAUACAUUUUGUAGUUUAAAACUGAAUGAGCUAAUGAAUGAGCUAAUGUAAGCAUAAUUAUAGUACAUUUUUGUUCUGAUAAUGUUGUGGACUGUUAAAUUGCUUUAUUGUGGAUAUAUAACAAGUUUACAACACAUAUAUAUGUAUAUAUAUAUGUAUCAAUAUCAAUAACUAAUGUUUUGUUGAAAAAUAUAUGUGCUUGUUUUUAGCUCACCUGAGUACAAAGUGCUCAAGGUGAGCUAUUGUGCUCGCCCUGUGUCCGUCAUCCGUCGUAGUCGUCCGUCGUCGUCCGUCGUCAACAAUUUGACUGUUAACACUCUAGAGGUCACAAUUCGGGAAAUAUAUUAAUGAAAGUUGGUCAGAAUGUUACCCUCGAUCAAAUCUUGGACGAGUUCGAUAUUGGGUCAACUUGGGUUAGAAACUAGGUCACUAGGUCAAAUAAAAGGAAAAGCUUGUUAACACUAUAGAAGUCACAUUUAUGACUGUAUCUUCAUGAAACUUGGUCAUAAUGUUAAUAUUGAUAAUCUCUAGGUCAAGUUCGAAUCUAUGUCAAGUGUGGUCAAAAACUAGGUCACCUGGUCAAAUUGAAGGAAAAGUUUGUUAAUACUCUAGGCCCCAAUUUCUCGAAACUUCUUAAGCUUAACAGGCUUAAGUAGCUUAUUUCAAUUACUCAAAUACAUACUUGAAUGGAAUUUUGAUAAAUGAAAAAUGGUGUAAUUUUACUAACAUAUAGAUCAUUUCUAUCUAAAGUAUAAAAACUCUUAAAGAAGUAAACAUUAUCCAAAUUAUUGAAAACCAAAAAUAGUGGGUUUAGCUUAAUCCUGUUAUAAGGGACUUAAGAAGUUCCGAGAAAUUGAGGCCUGAGGUCUCAUUUACAACUGUAUCUUCCUGAAACAUGGUCAGAAUGUUUAUAUUGAUUAGCUCUAGGCCAAGUUCGAUCUUGGUCAUGUGCGGUCAAAAACUAGGUCAUUAGGUCAAAUCAUAGGAAACGCUUGUUAGCACUCUAGAGGUCACAUUUAUGACUGUUUGUUCAUUAUACUUAGUCAGAAUGUUCAUAUUGAUUAGCUCUAGGCCAAGUUCGAAUCUGGGUCAUGUGCAGUCAAAAACAAGGUCACCAGGUCAUGUAAUAGGAAAAGCAUGUUAACACUCUAGAGGCCACAUUUAUGAUCAUAUGUUCAUGGAACUUGAUCAGAUUGUUAUUCUUGGUGAUCUGUAUUGGAUCAGAUUAGCGAUACAGGGCCUUCAGGGCCCUCUUGUUUUUUUUAAAUGUUAUAGAUGUAUAAUUCAGUUUAAAGACUCAUACUUUAAAUAAUUAAAUAUUUUCAUACUUUCUGCAUACAUUGUUAUAUUCAAUGAUGGAAUGGUGCUUACAACAUCAACUACAGGGAAUUUAUAUUCAUUUCAAACUGCUGAGGUGGUCAAACCAUUUUUCCAGGUUAUUUGCAGACCCUUAAAAAUCUAAAAUAUACAUAAUGCUGUUUUACAUAAUUUUUAAAAUAGUUUAGUACAGGUUAAUAUGUCAGAUAACUGUAAUAAUUAGU